GCAAAGUUUACAACAGAGGCAGAAGGAAC
rnacentral:piRNA from 1 species